GAGACCUUACCUCAAUACCUCAGAGGGCAAAGCUCCAAAGCUUUAAAUGCUGCCUGUAACGGGAUGUGUGAUCUAGAAAGAGGUUGUGAGUCACGCUGUACAUAGGUGUGCGCAUGUGUGAAGAUUAUGGAGAUAGUGUGGAUAACUGGA